UGUUGCGAUCAUACCAGCACUAAUGCACCGGAUCCCAUCAGAACUCCGCAGUUAAGCGUGCUUGGGCGAUAGUAGUACUAGGAUGGGUGACCCCCUGGGAAGUCCUCGUGUUGCAACCC
rnacentral:rRNA from 1 species